AAAACAUUAUCAAUGUGCAAUUCUGACUUAAGUCCUUUUUGCCAAACAUAAAAAAACAAUCUGGUCAUAACUGACCAAUGAGCAAUUUUAAUUUAACCUAAAUUACUACUGUUUCUUAAAAUGAAGAGCUUACCCCAUAGCGUCUCUUAUCUAAUCUAACAAGAUCGUGCACUAUUCUAACAUACACAGGCACAGCACACAAGCACUAUGCUCCGUUUUUCACUAUCACCUAUCACUCAAACUAGUUCAAAAGGAUUUGUCCUCUUCAAUCUUCUAGUUUGCCCAGUAGUAUCGAGGAGCUGGAUUUCCUCGAUAUUCUUGAACUUAUGAAGUUGAUGCUCGUGACCCUGCUAUCUUCUUGAUAUUUGUUGAUAAAGUAAUAACUUAUUAUGCAUGGACAAUGUGGACUUUCUUCCAACUAGCCAAUACACUUUUUAUAUUUCUCUUUUGCCUUUCAUAGCCACAAGGCUAUACAUUUCCUUCUUGGUUUUUUUUGUAGGCCACUUUCAGCUGAUUCUAAAAAAAAUUAAAAUGAACGGUAAUUUUUCUAUUCUUUACAAUUAAAAAUCAAAAGAAAUAGGUACCUAUUUACAGGUAAUAAUAUGCAUGUAUAAAUGAUUCGUUUCAUAAAGAAUAAAGAAAAUUGAAAACGGAUUUUAUAAUACUUACAAAAUUGUUUAAACAAGAGAUCUAGCCAGAGCCCAGAGCAAAAACUAGCAGACAGUACAGCAAAAAAGCCACUAAUUUCCAUUUCCCACACCCCCUUAUCGAUGCAUUUUUUUCCAAUCAAAAUUUUUACUUUACUAAAUUUUUAGGUUAUCGGUUAUGUUAUGAAAAUGAAAUGUGAUGACCAAUGACCACGAGACGCUACAUAGAUACUCGCGCGGCAAAUUUGAAAAUGAACGCAAAUUGAACAGUACAAUAAAUAGCCUCUCUUAAAAUCUUGUAAUGGAAAAUUUUACCCCUCCAGGAAGACAUUGUACUAUGUUCAUAGAAUAUCUUGUGGUAACUUUCCACCCAUAAUUUAAUCAGAUAGAUGUUCACGGGGAAUAGAACGGUAGUACCUACAUUCCUGGAAUGUUUUGUGUUGUUAGGAUUAAACUUUUAUUUUAUUUAUUCUUGAAUAUUUCCUAUUGUUAAACAUUGUAACCAAUAAUUUACAAAUAAGAUUUUCAUUACAUUACAUAAAAUCAAAAACAUUUUUUGGAUAUUAAACUAUAUAGUUUGUUUAUAAUUAAUAAUUGUAUAUACAAUUUUGAAUUAAGAUUUAAUCUUUUCGAUUUAAACUACAGUAAAACCUGUGUUACCGGCCCCCUGCAAACACCGGCCACCUGUACUAACGGUCAGUUUAAAAAUUCCCCAAACCAAUUACAGUAAAACCUGUCAGUAACGGCCACUAAAAAUGAAAAAGCUAUUGGCCGAUAUAGAAAGGUGACCGGUAUUGCCAGUUUUUGUAGUCUAGAUAUAAUUGGUUUGGGGAAUAUUUAAACUGGCCGUUAGUACAGGUGGCCAGUAACACAAGUUUUACUGUAUAUCUAGACUACAAAAACUGGCAAUAACGGCCACCUUUCUAUAUCGGCCAAUAGUUCUUUCAUUUUAGUGGCCGUUACUGACAGGUUUGACUGUAUUUCAUUAACGUAAAGUUAACGCGUAAGUUAAUAUUUUAUUGAAUUAUUUUGCUAUUUGAUCCCGUAAUUGGUAUAAUGUGUCCAAUAUAAUAUAUAAGCGUUCAUAAAACGUCCGUAUUUCGUCCAGUAUGGACGUCCAAAGGACGUUCAACGUCGGACGUCCAAAGGACGUCCAUAUUUAUUCCGUCCGAAGGACGUCCAACGUCGGACGUCCAAAGGACGUCCAUAUUUAUUCCUUCCGAAGGACGUCCAAAAUGGGACGUCCAAAGGACGUCCGUUUAUAGUCCAUGGACGUAAGGACCAAAAAUGGACGUAUUUUGGACGUCCAAAGGACGUCGUGUGCUAUUAGGGAGAGGGCUUUCCUCUCCGUGAAUUCACAAACGACCAAAAUCCCUUCAAAUUAUUUCUUAUUGAUAAUUCUGUUAAGUAAAUAUGAUUUCUGUAGCUUUCAGCUUUUAACAAUUUACAAUUAGCCCUCAGCUGUGAAAAAGUCUGAUAAUCCAGAACUGAUUUAGAUAAAAGAUAUUUUUUGUGAGCUUUCUUUUUCUCAACUAUCCGGUUCUUAACUCUAAAGAGAACCAAGGAGGGAAUCUACGUUUUGAAUACCUUUUUAGGGGGAUGAAUAACCCUAACAACACACAACAUUCCAGGAAUGUACUACCAAAGUUCUAUCAAUAUUUGAAUGUCCUGGACAUUUAGGGAACAUUCGGUGAACAUCUGUUUAAAUUAUUCCUGGAAUGUUACCAUAAGACAUUCUGUGAACAUACUACCAAUGUUCCUAUAUUUUAAGUUGCGAAAUAAUACAUACGUGUAAGAGAUACAACAUUACUUAUAACAUACCAGACAAACUAAGUGACAUUUUAGGCCUACAGUGCAAUAAUAUGUCAAAUUUAAAGAGUUUCCCAAGAUUAUAAACAUACAAAUGUAAUAAAAAUUAUUGUUCGCGAAUAUUCAAUUUGGAAUGCGAUUUUGUUAAUAAAAAAAAUACUUAUAACUUAUGCAAAACCCAAGAGAGGCAUUUAUAUUUAUUUCUUUUGCGUUCAUUUUCAAAUUCGCCGUGCAUAUAUUUUUGUGCAUGGCGCUUGAGAGGGCAUCACGUGACUAAAAACGACCAACCAACGACCUCGCUUCGGCCAUCUUGGCAUCUUCAUCUUGGCGACCUUGCCUUGCCGUGGAUUGUUUUUAGUUGUAUGUAUUAUUUGUGCUUUUUAAGAAUAUUUUUUUAAUUCGGAUACUUUUAUAAUAGCUUUAAUAGUAUUAUUAACAUAGUGCAUAAAAUGGUGUCCUGUUUUUAACGCAGUUGGAGUAGCAGAGACAAAUGUAGAUAAAAAAAUCUGCAGGAAUAACGUUUCAAUUAUGACAGAAGCUCAAAACAAAUGACUGUGAAUGAAAAGCCCUAUUAAAAGCUUUCCAGAAGAUCCUGCGAAGAAGACAUGAAGUAUAGAUCAGAUUUGUUAAUAGAGGAGUAUGUUCAAAACACUUUUUAGAAAAAGAUAUUGACAGAACUUCACUUUCAUCUGUUCGUUUGAGAGACUGUGCUGUUCCAAUAGCUUAUGUCACACAGAAUCAGCUGAGAGAAGUGGUCUACAAAAAACCAGAAAGGAAACGGAAUAUGUGGCUACGAAAAGCAAAAGAAAGGUUUACAAAGCAAAUGUGACACAUUUUUUUAUAAUAUUUAGGAAUGUCAGCAAAUUACAUUAAAAAAUGUAUGUAAAGAUUUUUUGCAAUAAAAAUGUUUAUAUUUA